UUUGUAGUAGUUUUUGAUCUUAUGUUGAAGAUUUUAAGUUGUCUUUCAGGCCUGGAUUCUGCAUGCUAUGGUGUUGAGUUAAUUGUGAGCUUUAUGGGAGUCUUUUCUUGAAAGAUCAUUCAGUUCCAUUUUCUCCUUAGAAAAAUGUCAUGUGAGGCAUCUGUGAACCCAUGAGAGAAAAUGAAAGCUUACACUUAAUAAAAUGCAUUUACCUGCAUAUAAACUGUGACUGGCUGUAUUGAACUUCCCUGAGCACUGCUGUUAUUAUAUGCCAUACAUCUUCCACAGACAUACAAGACUUAAGGUCAGUGGGGAACAAAAUGUUUUGUAUAAAUGCUAGUAUUGAAGACUCCUUCAUCUCCUGAAGCUGUUGUGCCUGAAGAAGUGUCAAAUAGGAUGAGAAAAUUUACUAAAAGAACUAUUGCUUGGCUUCACACUCAGCUGCUUCUCCCAGAUCAACACUUGCAGCUGCAAAGGGUUUCUCUGAAUAGAUACACAGUAUUUGCGGUCCAGCCCACAGAGAUUUUACAGCAGAGGGAAGUAGAGGGAGAAAGAAAGGGAGUGAGGGAGGAAGGAAAUAAAAAUGGAAAACCUUGAGUGUCUUCAUGUGCUGAGAAGGCUGAAAGAAGAAAUGUUCUCUCCACUGCACUUCAGGACUGUCAUAUGCUGUGACGCAUUUCCCCUUCUGGCAGCUCCUACACAAGGAGGUGUGUCUGAAGCACUCUCUCAGUAUGAAGUGACACCAGAAGAGGGUUUAGAGAAGUCAGUGGAAAGAUAAGAAUCAAACUGAUGACAUCAGGCAACAUGAUCCAACUUAAUGACCUUCAGAAGUUUUCUGAGAAUCACUCAGAUGAAAACUGUACCAAAAGAUGAGUCACAGAAGAGCUUGGGGAUAAGCAUUACCUGUUGUGCCUGCAACUCCUUUCUUUGUUCUCAGUAAAUGUGAUUCAGACCAUUUCUGGGGUGGAUGCGGCAGUUUUGCUUUCAGGCUAUUGGAAAGCAGACUCCUGCUGUUGUUUCCAAGGAACUGGUUUUCUCAUGGCAGUAGGUUUUAUUUUCAUUAGGUGUAGGGUUUUUCUUCUUUUCUAGCUCUCAGGUGUAGAGUAAGAGGUUCCUUGCUGUUUUCCGGCUUCCCCUCUCAGUAUCCUCCUAUGGCACAUCGUGACAUGGCAGCUAAGCAACUCUUCUGCUCUGCCUCCACAGGCGUGCUAUUUCCACUCUGUAAUUUUUAAGAAAGUGGAUGAUUUUCCUCCUUCGCUUCUUUCUCUGACAUGUAAGUAAUUCCCCAUCCUACCAAAUAAAUCAAAAGCAGCAUGAGCUGGAAGAUGUCAGGUGUGAACAACAAGGAAAACAAAUAAAUAACCCCUAAACCCCCUCCCAAAUCUCACUGAUUUUGAGCUUAGUCCUGUCUUUGAGUAAUUUUCUGAUUCUCACUGGGUUCCAUACAGUG